GGCGGGACCUGCGCCUGUGGACCCAGAACCCGAGCCAGCUAGGCUGCCGCUGGAUGCGGGAGAAGGAGGCUGAGCACUGGAGCCCUGCGACGUCCGUGGCCUUUGCCCUCAGGAGACACCAGAUGGACGGAUGGACAGGGGCUGGACACAACGGCCCUUCGUCUCCUCACAGUUUUGGAUGAAAUUGAUGGAUACCAACAAUAUGAGGCUAUCGUAUUGGACAUCAGAAACACCAGGUAAAACUUCCUACCCCACUUUGAAUGACCAAGCUGGUAAAAAUGAAACCAUACUUGGGUGUUUGAACUUUACAGGCAAAUGAUUUUACCACUGAGCCAUCUAUCUAUCUAUCCAGUCUCAACAUUCUUAAAAAAAAAAAAAAAAAAAA